GGCCUCGUGGCCCAAUGGCAAGGCGCUUGACUACGAUACACAAAGUCGGUUGCAAAACCAGUUGACAUCAAGAGAUUCUGGGUUCGACCCCCAGCGAGGUCA